rnacentral:rRNA from 1 species
GACGAACGCUGGCGGCGUGCCUAAUACAUGCAAGUUGAGCGCUGAAGGUUGGUACUUGUACCAACUGGUUGAGCAGCGAACGGGUGAGUAACGCGUGGGGAAUCUGCCUUUGAGCGGGGGACAACAUUUGGAAACGAAUGCUAAUACCGCAUAAAAACUUUAAACACAAGUUUUAAGUUUGAAAGAUGCAAUUGCAUCACUCAAAGAUGAUCCCGCGUUGUAUUAGCUAGUUGGUGAGGUAAAGGCUCACCAAGGCGAUGAUACAUAGCCGACCUGAGAGGGUGAUCGGCCACAUUGGGACUGAGACACGGCCCAAACUCCUACGGGAGGCAGCAGUAGGGAAUCUUCGGCAAUGGACGAAAGUCUGACCGAGCAACGCCGCGUGAGUGAAGAAGGUUUUCGGAUCGUAAAACUCUGUUGGUAGAGAAGAACGUUGGUGAGAGUGGAAAGCUCAUCAAGUGACGGUAACUACCCAGAAAGGGACGGCUAACUACGUG